rnacentral:lncRNA from 1 species
GCAUUUAUAUAAAUAUAUAUAUGAAUAUAUGUGUGUAUAUAUAUUUCUUCCAAGUACUAUGGAAAAAGGAAGAACCCUUCAAUUUCCAAGUGUAAGCCCCACUAGCAAAUAAAUGCAGUGCUUCCAAGGCUACCACUCUGCUGCUGUUUGGAUGUGCCCAGCCACCCUGGGGACAGGGAACACAGCACUUUCUACAAUGAAAACUGAGAUCCAUGCAUAUAAUCACAGGUUUCCAGGAUCUGCGGCAACCUCUUUUGGUAUUCCCAGCUCUUUUUGCCCAUUUGCCUCUUCCAGGGAGUGACCUCUGGAAAACAUUAAUUAAACUAUGUCAGCAGUGGUGGGAAUGAAAGCCAUGCAGAUACGCAUCUAAUGGGAUUGAAAUCUGGUGGCCUGAACACGUGCACAGCCACUGUGGCUUUAACAGUGCAAUCUUCUGAUAGACCUUUAAUCAACGUGGACAGGAAAGACCAGCAUCUUCUCUUCCCAGUAAUAUUUCAUGGCAGAGCUUAUGGUACAACACAUCUGUGUCUUCAGCAUCUCCUAAUGUGAAUUUUGCAAAUUUUUCAUUGAGAGAGGGGCACAGCUGACACAGAGAUCAUCCUGCUGAGAAAGGGGCUGCUGUCUGGGCUAAGGAAGGUGGCCAUCUACCCACGGGGCUUUCGUAAUGUUCCGUACAUCAUAAAGGAAGUCAAGGGAGGACAAAGAGAAUAUGUAACUUGCCCCAAGGCCAGGAAGUCAUCAAGCUCCUGGUCAUGUGGACACAUGCAAGCAACAGUGGCUAAACUCCUGGGAAGUGAAGCAAGGGCAACAUUAAACAGCUGGAAAACUGGGCUCAAUUUGCCACACUGAUUCAAAAUCGGUAUAAUUUCAAGAGCAACGGGAUUUGUUACUGGUUUGAAGACCAGUGUAAGAAGACAAACAAACAGACCCACAAGGAAGGAGGAUGGGCUGAUGGAGGAAGGGCUCUCGCCUGCUGUAGUGCUGGUGCUUCAGGGGGAUGCAGAAGUGCUGCUCCAGUGGAAGACCAGCUCUGCAUGGGCAAUACAGCAGUCUUUACGUCGGGAUUAAAGACGACAGAAAUGCCACAUUUGCCUGAAUUUUUGCUCAGUCCCCACCUCCCAUUCCGCAGACAGAGUCAGAAGCAUGGGGAUGAUGUGUCAUUCAGGAACGAGUCAACUGGGGCCGGUGCUUUCCUUCCUUGCUGACUUCAGCUAAUGAGACGCUGUCUUUGUUAACAAGCAGCUGAGAAAAACCUAAAGCUGCUGGCUGAGAGACACCACAUAACGUCCUUUUUCCAGCUGCUUUCCAUAUGUUAGCUGAAAUUCACACACUUUUCUAGCUGUGCAGGUACACCGUGCUACCCCGACAAAGCUGGAGAAAGGCGAGAGGAAGAAAUGCCUUAGACUGUUGUUCCAAAUGAGGCCUUGGGUUUAUUUAACACACAUUAACUCUCCAGAAACAGGUGUUCAAAUUAGGAAAGCAGAAAUUUUUCU